GGGCCCGUUGCCUAGCCAGGAUCAAGGCGCCGAGCCGACUAAAAAGAUGGCGCGCAAGCCUUCGGAGCCGGAGAGCCGGGGUUCAAAUCCCCGCGGGCCCGCCA
rnacentral:tRNA from 1 species